rnacentral:sRNA from 1 species
AAAGACAACCUCUUCUCUCCCGCUUCCCUCGCUGUGAAGAUGGCGCUCUCCAGGGUGUGCUGGGCUCGGUCGGCUGUGUGGGGCUCGGCAGUCACCCCUGGACAUUUCGUCACCCGGAGGCUGCAACUUGGUCGCUCUGGCCUGGCUUGGGGGGCCCCUCGGUCUUCAAAGCUUCACCUUUCUCCAAAGGCAGAUGUGAAGAACUUGAUGUCUUAUGUGGUAACCAAGACAAAAGCGAUUAAUGGGAAAUACCAUCGUUUCUUGGGUCGUCAUUUCCCCCGCUUCUAUGUUCUGUACACAAUCUUCAUGAAAGAAAGCCUUGAGCCGGGCCAUGCUUCUCACAUCUUACCUGCCUCCUCCCUUGUUGAGACAUCGUUUGAAGACUCAUACAACUGUGAUUCACCAACUGGACAAGGCUUUGGCAAAGCUGGGGAUUGGCCAGCUGACUGCUCAGGAAGUAAAAUCGAGUCUCAUUCUGUUGCCCAGGCUAGAGUACAGUGGCACAGUCUUGGCUCCCUGCAACCUCUGCCUCCCGGUUCAAGUGAUCCUCCUACCUCAGCCU